rnacentral:rRNA from 1 species
GACGAACGCUGGCGGCGUGCCUAACACAUGCAAGUCGAACGGAAAGGCCUCUUUCGGGGGGUACUCGAGUGGCGAACGGGUGAGUAACACGUGAGUAACCUGCCCUUGACUUUGGGAUAACUUCAGGAAACUGGGGCUAAUACCGGAUAGGAGCUCCUGCUGCAUGGUGGGGGUUGGAAAGUUUCGGCGGUUGGGGAUGGACUCGCGGCUUAUCAGCUUGUUGGUGGGGUAGUGGCUUACCAAGGCUUUGACGGGUAGCCGGCCUGAGAGGGUGACCGGCCACAUUGGGACUGAGAUACGGCCCAGACUCCUACGGGAGGCAGCAGUGGGGAAUAUUGCACAAUGGGUGGAAGCCGGAUGCAGCAACGCCGUGUGCGGGAUGACGGCCUUCGGGUUGUAAACCGCUUUCGCUCAUGACGAAGCUUUGUGUGACGGUAGUGGGUAAAGAAGCACCGGCUAACUACGUG